AAAGUCGUAACAAGGUUUCCGUAGGUGAACCUGCGGAAGGAUCAUUACAAAUGACACCAGGCAGCAGAUACUCUUGUCUACUGCCGUCACGGUCGAUCUAUUGCUACCGUAGUCAUGUUCCGGCAUGACUUCGUGUCCACCCAAUGUGAACCUUUAUACUUUGCUUCGGCAGCGCUUAGCGAUUAAAACUCGCAAAGGUAAGGCUGUCGAUAGCACCAAUAAAAACUAGUUGAUUAAAUUUCAUGCUGUCUGAAGCUUUUUGAGAAAUCAAAUUACAAGUUAAAACUUUCAGCAACGGAUCUCUUGGUUCUC
rnacentral:misc_RNA from 1 species